CACGCACCCUACCAACUGAACUAUAUCCCCAGCCCCAGGACAGCAUUUUUAUUAUCCCCAUUUUACAGAUGAGGAAAUAGAGGCACAGAGAAGUUCACUGACCUGAGAUGCUCACCUUGGGCAGCAGGGUGUUUUACACAUGACUUAAUAAUGUGAUGAAAGUGUCAAAAAACCAAACUCUUGUCUAUCCCCAACAUUUAAGGGCUCCCCUGCUCUGUUGUAGUUACGAAAAACCCAGUAAUCAGGUGCUUCUCAGAGCACACACAGGCUGCCUUGUGCAUCCCAGUGAGGAGCAAUUCCCUCGCUUUGUGCUCAGCACUGCUGACUAGGUUCAUCACCGCGUACCCCAGUGGCCUGAUCCAGCUCUGAAUGCUAAGUCAUGCCUGCCUCUAACUGGACAUCAUUAGCAAAAUCUUGGCCUCUUCUCCAGGGAGCUGAAACACAGACACAUAACAAGCUAUUGAAUGGUGCACACACCACCCUGCUGGGUCACCGGGACUUGUCAGCUGGCAAACUUGCAUGAUGCAUCGGAGGGAGAAACACAGUGCAUUCUGUGGUGGCUUUUUACCCUCUCACCAUCUUGAGAAGCCUAUUGUAGGAAACAUCUGUUCUUUGGGUCUGCCUAGCAUCUAUUCUCUCUCUCUGGAGAUAGAAUCUCUAUUUUACCUUAGGGGACACCCUUCCCUUCCUCAUUCUUAAUCCCUAUGACUUAAGUAGACUGAUUCUGCCUCCCAGUUCCAGGAUUGAAUGGAUGACCCAGGCUGGGUCAAUCAGUGUAUGCUCUCUCCCAUGGUUCAGGGUUGGUCAUGUGACUCAAAUGGGCCAGUAGAUUGAAUUCUGAGGCUUUUCAUUGGAACUACUGGGAAAGAGAAGCCUCAGGGUGGGUACACUCUGAAGAAAUAGCUCAGGGUGAUGGUGGUUCAUUUGGUCAUGGUGAAGGAAUGUCCUUCCUCAGAAUGAAGCUGACACAGCAACACCAAGCUGAGAGGGGAAAGAGGUAAAUUUGGGGAUCAUGUAUUAUGAACAUCUGGAUUCAGCUACACUUAAGGCUCCCUUGAAUCUCCCAUUUAUAGGAGCCAGUAAUUUUGGUGAUAGAUUAAACAUGGCCACAAUUCCUUUGUGGCUCCUUUCAUUAAGAGGUGACAUCUCUGAAUCUGAGCUGGCCUUGUGACUGCUUUGACUCAAGGACAGUGGACAUGAAUUAUGGAGACCAGCCUCAGGCACCUUGCAGCUUCUGUCUUCACCCUCUUGGCCCUCUGUUGGAAGAGGAGGGGCCGUGAGAACCACAGUUCCUUAGCCACCAUGUGAGGUGGGCAGCAGUGAGGCCAUCUUGGAACUACUGGGAAAGAGAAGUCAUUUGAAGUUUGAUCUACUGCUAUUCUUUGCUUCAGGACUUGAGGGCUGUGGAUCAGACAUACAGUUCUGAUUUGGAGGGACAUUGUGUUGAAUGCCACUGCGUUGGUGAGCACCGGUGGCACCACCUGUAAUUCUACCUAGUCAAUUCUCAGAAUCAGAGUUGUUAUUUUAAGCUAGUAAGUUUUGGGGUUAUUUGUUAUACAUCAAUAAAUAGCUGUUAAGCUUCUUUUCUGGG